UGAAGCUGCUUCAUCUCAUUCCUGAUUCAAAUUGAUCCCUUCAGUGGCUCGUUCUUGCAUUAGCAACUUAAAACUGGCCCAAAUGGGUUUACAGUGGUUAGAACUUGCUUAUGACCAGUUCAAAUCUUUUCUUGCAAGGAAAAAUCAGUUCUGACCAGUUCAAAUCUAUUUUGACCAGUUUAAACUAAUUCUGCAGAGCUGGAGCCUGAGGUCGGUAAACUCAGGAAGAUGGCUGAAGACGAUGCUGGUUCGAGCCAAAGCAAGGAAUCAGCUUCUUAGGCACUCUGGAACUUGCUUACUUGUAUUUAGAAGUGCACUUCAAUGGGAGCCACAAUGACAGAGGACUCAAAAGAUUUCAGGUGAGUUGUCAUAUUCUGAUGCCCUGAUGUUGGGAUCAAUAGAGGAUGGACAGAGAAAAAAAUCAAGAAUUCUACAUCAUUUUGAUGAAUCAGACCGUUGUACCAUGGGAGAUGCUCAGCUUUGAGCUUUGGCAACUUGGCAGGAUGCAAAGGCUAUUAAUGGAGGUGGGGACUGAAGAGGACGAGUAUUUUGGAGGGAAGAUGAUAUUCCCUAAUUCUUCAACAUCUCCUGUACUUGCCAAUUCACCUGUCUCAUGGCAAUUCCUAUUGUUUUUUUAUCAGUGUAUAGAGACUCCAUCUAUGUAAAUAUCUGUAAAUGCAUAGAUUAUCUCUGGAAUGGUACACAAGAAACUUUUGACAGUGAUUGCCUGCAAAGAGGGGACCUGGGCAGGAGUGGGAAAAACACUUUUCACUCUGUAUCCUUUGUACCUUUUGAACUGUAUACCAUAUGCAUGUGUUAUCUGCUUUAAAAAGGAAAAUUAUAAAACAGAUUAAAGAUAAAACAGAAAAAAUGUCAUACUGCCCCAAUACAUUUACAUCUCCUGUACAUUAACCUCAGAGUUUCCCCUGUGUCCUAUGGUCUUACCUGUCCAUGAAGCUUUUCUCUGACAAACCUAUAUCGUAUCCUUUCUGCCCACUUGAUGUGGAAGCCAGUGGGAAAAAGGAAAUUUGAGUUAGCAAGUAUUGACUACUUUUGUAAAAGAUUAGUGGAGAAAAGAAAGGUAUUAGGUAAAGUGGGACUUUGGGGUUAAGAGAAGGUUUCUAGUUUAGAUAUUUAUUUGUGGCUAGGAGUGACUUUUGUACCUGUUUAUAGGUGGAGUGGAAGAAGCUUGGAGAGAAGGGAGAAAAGUUGAAGAUAAAGGAAAGGAAGGGUUUGUAAACAGGCUAUUAGCUUACUCAAAAUAUCAGCAAUAUUGAAGUAGAGUUGCAAAUGAAUGUGUUUCUAGGGAACUGUUUAGAAAUGGCUCUUAAAAAAACAAAAAGCUCUCUGUAAGGAACCAGAUCCCAGACAGGCCCCUCUGUGGCCAUUUACAAUAGCAGCUCUUGGGUCUGCUGAGAUCUAUCAGGAAUUCCUUCAACAAAUGUUAAAUGAUUACUAUGAGUAAGGCACAGCAUUCAGCAAGGGUUGUGUGGCUUAAUUAAAUGUACUGACUUGAUAUUCACUAAGGGAAGAAAGUUUCUGUAAGAAUAAGGAUGCUUGAAUAUAAUUCUGA